UGGGGAAUAUUGCACAAUGGAGGGAACUCUGAUGCAGCGACGCCGCGUGAACGAAGAAGGCUUUCGAGUCGUAAAGUUCUUUUAUAUGGGAAGAUAAUGACGGUACCAUAAGAAAAAGCCCCGGCUAACUACGUGCCAGCAGCCGCGGUAAUACGUAGGGGGCUAGCGUUGUCCGGAAUCACUGGGCGUUAAGGGUUCGCAGGCGGAAAUGCAAGUCAGGUGUAAAAGGCAGUAGCUUAACUACUGUAAGCAUUUGAAACUGCAUAUCUUGAGAAGAGUAGAGGUAAGUGGAAUUUUUAGUGUAGCGGUGAAAUGCGUAGAUAUUAAAAAGAAUACCGGUGGCGAAGGCGACUUACUGGGCUCAUUCUGACGCUGAGGAACGAAAGCGUGGGUAGCAAACAGG
rnacentral:rRNA from 1 species